CAGAGUAAAGGAAUACGCGUAAAGUGCAUGCUGUACGGGGAGUUGACAGCAUGACGAAGGGUUCGAUCCCGCGGUGUGUUCCUUGCAUCCCGCUGU
rnacentral:ncRNA from 1 species